CGGACGGGUGAGUAACGCGUGGGUAACCUGCCUUGUACUGGGGGACAACAGUUAGAAAUGGCUGCUAAUACCGCAUAAGCGCACAGUAUCGCAUGAUACAGUGUGAAAAACUCCGGUGGUACAAGAUGGACCCGCGUCUGAUUAGCUAGUUGGUAAGGUAACGGCUUACCAAGGCGACGAUCAGUAGCCGACCUGAGAGGGUGACCGGCCACAUUGGGACUGAGACACGGCCCAA
rnacentral:rRNA from 1 species